UACAGAGGAGCCAAGCGUUGUCCGGAUUGACUGGGCGUAAAGCGCACGCAGGCGGACGCGCGCGUGGGGUGUGAAAUCUGGCCGCUUAACGGCCAGGCGCCAUCCCAUACGGCGCGUCUGGAGCAAUGCAGAGGUCGGUGGAAUUGCCGGUGUAGUGGUGAAAUGCGUAGAGAUCGGCAGGAACACCCAGGGGGGAAACCAGCCGACUGGGCAUUUGCUGACGCUGAGGUGCGAGAGCGUGGGGAGCGAACCGG
rnacentral:rRNA from 1 species